rnacentral:lncRNA from 1 species
CACACCAGACUACAGGCAGUGAGGGUCUCCCCACGUCUAUUCACACCAUGGCAGAUAUAUAAGGAAUACAGAGGAGGUGCAGCAGCGGCAAGAAGCAAUCCAGAGACAAAACCCCUGGGACAGUGCCUUUCCAGGAAGCUCACUUGCCUGUUGCAGUUUCUCUUGCAUGGCAGUAAGGCCAUUGCUCUACCCAUAGAGGCUUAGUCAACCAUUUUAAGGGUAGGGAUGUUGGUAUAUCAGCAAGUGUCCCCCCCACCCCCUGAAAACCUUGCAAAUUUGGAAACUCAAUCCAUGUAGUGUCUUGUUUUGGCUAACCUUCACAGUCUGUGGUUCUGGAUAAUAUUUUUCAAUAUCUUCCCUAGAAACAUUCUAUUUGAUCCAUUAUUUUUGGAAUUGUCCCUGAUGUUGAGGUGAUUAAUCUGAGUUCUGUUAAUCUGAUUCUUAUCCCCAUAAAUUUAUGGCUAUGUCAGCCACUUAACUUCCUUAUUUGCCCUUCUGGCCCCAUAUAUUUAUUAACCCAUCACACAAUUUGUUUUAUCUGAGAUAACUUUGCAGUUCCUAGAAACUGGGUAUAAACCUUUUGAAAUGGUCAUUCUGAGUGCCAAGAUCUUUGUGAAGUGAUUGUUGAGGUUAGUUUCGUGCACUCUUUAUUCAGAAGCUGAAUUCUGAGCCCCUAUCCAGACCGUAACCUAAUAUUGGGGCAUUGUAUUAACCUAUGUACUGUAAAUAAUGCUCCCUAAUAAUCCCUGAUUGGUCAGUAAAUGACUGAGGCUUAUGACUGGGAAAGGAAGGUGGGACUGAGAAUUGAGUCAGAGGUCUUGAGGGAGACCACCAGGAGGAGGAGAGAAGUCAGAGGUAAGAGGUCACCAUUACAUGGGAUGAACCAUCAGAAGCCUGUGGCCAAGAGAAGUGAAUCCUGACGACAGGCUGAUGGAGCAGAAGCAGCCUGGGAGACACCAGAUUGGCAAGUGACUGGCAUUUGUGUGGGUUUUAACAAGUGGGAGAAUUAAAAUAGCUCAAUGUGCCCAGCAUAAUACCUACAACUUAUUAUAGUGUCUUUGUGUUGUUUACUCGGGAAUGUAUGGGCAAGAAGUGAGGUAGAUAUUAACCAUUAGCUACAAAGGGGUAAAGGGGUGUAAAAAUCCCCCAGAAAAAUAAUAGCAUUUAAUAAAUGAUUGUUACAUCAGCACUUGUAUCUACCAAAUCUGUUUCAAUGUCAUUCCCUUGCAACUUUAAUUUUGGUCUCUGAUCAUUAACCGUUUGCCAGAACACAUUUUGGCAGUACUUCCAAAUGCCCCGAUCCUUUACUAGAUCCACUUUGCCUUUGAUAAAGGGAACAUUAACAGGUGAGCAGUCCUCUAUUCAGACACAGCAGAAGAGGGCAACAGAUCUCAUUACAGAUGGUUGUGAGCCACCAUGUGAUUGCUGGGAAUUGAACUCAGGACCUCUGGAAGAGCAGUCAGUGCUCUUAACCACUGAGCCAUCUCUCCAGCACAGGUGAGCAAUCCUAUCACCUGUGUUAAAGUGCAUUUCUCUUUAUAUAAGCCAUUAUUUUAAUUUCUCCUUUGAAAUACACAGUGAAUCUUUGGGAAGCCAACUGAUUUUGAAGACCAUUCCUACUGUCCCUGAGAGCAAUGACUAUAAAGUCCAGUAGAUAGAUAUUUUAUAACCUUGAAUUUUGUGGGAUAGUGUAAGAUGUUUAUCUCUGGCCAAGCCUAAAGCAGCACUGUCUGCAGCCACAUGCAUUAGAUUUGCAAUACUUAGUUGAGGUUUUUCUGCUUGCUGGUUAUUCUUUGAUAAGAAGCAAACAGCUUAGACUUUUUGCUGCAAGGCCUUGACUUAGGCCCCGUCAUUUCGUUUCCCAAUGCCCAAAAGUCGCCUUGAAUAUCUCUCUUGGUCCUAUACUCAUUUGUCCAGAGGCAACCCUUGCCACAUCACCUGCACAUGCCUGGAAAUCUAGGCCUUUCUCA